AUGCCGCUGCCCUCGCCGAGCACCACGCCACCGAAGCCACACGAGCUCGCAUCCAAAGCUCGCGGUCUACUGAGCCAGAGAUGGCAUCGGCCGCCGCCGCGGCUGGUCAUCGGACGCCUCCGGGGCCGAUGCACCUUGAACCACCAGGACGUGCCAUGGAUGCCCACACCAAUGAAAGUCCGCACAGGAGGGCCUCAUAGCAGCACCUUCAAUGGGGAUUUGGCGCUACCUGCAGCUGAAGGAGGCAUCGGCCUACAACUGGUGGGAGCAUCGACCUGCAGCUCACCGCGCACACCACUGCGACCCACUGCCACCACGGUCCACCACCUAUAG
rnacentral:rRNA from 1 species